AUGGAUCAUGCGGCGGACGCUUUCCGGACGGACCUGAUGACCAUCACGCGAUACCUGCUGAAGGAGCAGAGCAGGCACCUGGAGUCGCGCGGCUACUUCACCAUCCUCCUCUCCCACAUCGUCCUCGGCUGCAAGUUCGUCACACUCAACAAGGCCGGCCAAGCCAAGCUCAUCGGCCUCUCAGUUCAGAGCAACGUCCAGGCAAGCGCUUGUUUCCUCUCUUCAUCAAAGUUGUUCUUCCGUGAGAAUGGUGCUAUGAUGAUGAUUGCCUGUUUUCUUUGCCGUGGGUUCUUCAGGUGGAGGAGCAGAAAGAAGUUGGACGUGAUCUGCCAACGAGGUGUUGGUCAAUGCCCUUGUCAGCAGUGGCCGCACCGUAUGACUCUUCUCUCAUCUCGUGCGUUCUUGUGUCCGAGGAGGACGAGGAGGCUUCAUACUUGGACCGAAAGCUCCGUGGGAAGUACUGUGUCUGUUUUGAUCCCCUGGAUGGCUCCUCCAAUAUCAACUCCGGCAUGCCCAUCGGAAUGUCCGUCAUUGAAUAAUCAGAUGACAAUGGAGGUGCUCGACUCAAGGCAGAGGAUUUCAUUAUGCUCUCGAAGGAAUUACUUCUGCGGUGCGCCGGCAUCUGGUGAGCUUGACGGGUACUUCCUGAAGUUGGCACAGUCAGCAACCCAUCACAUUGACUUUGGGACCAUCUGCAGGUCGUUUGCCAAGCUAUCCACUGUCAUAUAUAUCCGGAUGGCCCUCUCAAUUCAUCUGCAAACCUCCUGCAUUUAUCCUUCUGGUCUAGCCGUCCAGGUUACUAAGCUCAUUGAAAGCGAUAAUCAAGCUGGUGAAGUAGCUACUCAAUCAGAGAUUUUCCAUUGCUAUAUGCAUGCUAGUGCCGUUUAUAUUGAGUGGGUUAGCUAG
rnacentral:rRNA from 1 species